rnacentral:rRNA from 1 species
CGGCGUGCCUAACACAUGCAAGUCGUACGAGAAAGUUGGCUUCGGCCGAUGAGUAAAGUGGCGCACGGGUGAGUAAUGCGUGGAUAAUCUGCCCUUAAGUGUGGAAUAACGUACCGAAAGGUGCGCUAAUACCGCAUAAUGCCUGGCAACACAAGUUGUCCGGCCAAAGAAGGCCUCUGUUUACAAGCUUUCGCUUCAGGAUGAGUCCGCGUACCAUUAGCUGGUUGGUGGGGUAAUGGCCUACCAAGGCUACGAUGGUUAGCUGGUCUGAGAGGAUGAUCAGCCACACUGGAACUGAGACACGGUCCAGACUCCUACGGGAGGCAGCAGUGAGGAAUAUUGCGCAAUGGGGGCAACCCUGACGCAGCAACGCCGCGUGAGUGAGGAAGGCCUUCGGGUCGUAAAGCUCUGUCAGAUGGGAAGAAAUGGAUGGGGGCUAAUAUCGUCCAUCCUUGACGGUACCAUCAGAGGAAGCACCGGCUAACUCCGUG